GUUAUAAUAGUUUAAAUAAACAUUGGUUUUGUAAACCAAAAUUAAAUAUAAAUUAUAUUUUUAUAACU
rnacentral:tRNA from 1 species